UGCGUAGGCGGAAUAUUAAGUCAGUGGUGAAAUCCUGCGGCUCAACCGUAGAACUGCCAUUGAUACUGAUAUUCUUGAAUGUAGUUGAGGUAGGCGGAAUGUGUAAUGUAGCGGUGAAAUGCUUAGAUAUUACACAGAACACCGAUUGCGAAGGCAGCUUACUAAACUAUGAUUGACGCUGAGGCACGAAAACGUGGGGAGCGAACAGGAUUAGAUACCCUGGUAGUC
rnacentral:rRNA from 1 species